CACCCAAUAGCAUAUGGUGUGCACCUGCCUGGCAUGAGAACGAUAUGCAUGGUUGCAAGCAGGAGGCCCUCGUUCGAUUCGGGGUUGGGUGA